GUCCAGAAUAGAAUUUUAGUUCAACUUUAAAAUUUUCCUAAAGGACAUCUAACCCUAAUGAAAAUUUAAAUGUUACUCCAAAGAGGGACAGCUCUUUGGAAAAAGGAUACAGCCUUUUAUAGAGAGUAAGUCAUUUUUAAUCCAUAGUUGGCUUAAAAGCAGCCAUCAAUUAAGAAAGCGUUAAAGCUCAACAAUCAAAAGCAACUCAAUCAAAACAUCUAAUAAACGAACUCCUAUAAACUUUGACUGGACCAAUCUAUAAAAUUAUAGAAGAAAUAAUGCUAAUAUAAGUAACAAGAACAACGUUCUCCUUGCACAAGUUUAUAUCAGAUCGGAUGCCCACUGAUAGUUAACAACCAUAAUAGUAAUAUUCCACAAAUUAAUAUUCUAUUAACUUUUAUUGUUAAUCCAACACAGGAGUGCAGCAUAGGAAAGAUUAAAAGAAGGAAAAGGAACUCGGCAAACUCUAACCCCGCCUGUUUACCAAAAACAUCACCUCUAGCAUUACUAGUAUUAGAGGCACUGCCUGCCCAGUGACAUACGUUUAACGGCCGCGGUAUCCUGACCGUGCAAAGGUAGCAUAAUCACUUGUUCCUUAAUUAGGGACUAGUAUGAAUGGCAACACGAGGGUUAAACUGUCUCUUUCUUCUUAUCAGUGAAAUUGACCUCCCCGUGAAGAGGCGGGGAUAUAACAAUAAGACGAGAAGACCCUAUGGAGCUUAAAUUAUUUAACCUAAUAUUUCCUCAAUACUACUCUAAAUUAGAGCCUAACAUAAAGAAAUUCCCUAGGUUAAGAAUUUUGGUUGGGGUGACCUCGGAGCACAAAUUAACCUCCGAAUGAUUUUAGACUAGACUCCACAAGUCAAAGCAAAUAUAAUCAUAAAUUGACCCAAACUUUUUUGAUCAACGGAACAAGUUACCCUAGGGAUAACAGCGCAAUCCUAUUCUAGAGUCCCCAUCGACAAUAGGGUUUACGACCUCGAUGUUGGAUCAGGACAUCCCAAUGGUGCAACCGCUAUUAAAGGUUCGUUUGUUCAACGAUUAAAG
rnacentral:rRNA from 1 species